rnacentral:rRNA from 1 species
UACAGAGGGGGCAAGCGUUGUUCGGAAUUACUGGGCGUAAAGGGCGCGUAGGUGGCCUUCUAAGUUGAACGUGAAAUCCCUCGGCUUAACCGGGGAACUGCGUCUGAUACUGGAUGGCUUGAGUUUGGGAGAGGGAUGCGGAAUUCCAGGUGUAGCGGUGAAAUGCGUAGAUAUCAGGAAGAACACCGGUGGCGAAAGCGCUCUGCUAGGCCGCAACUGACACUGAGGGACGAAAGCUAGGGGAGCGAAUGGG